UACGUAGGGUGCGAGCGUUAAUCGGAAUUACUGGGCGUAAAGCGUGCGUAGGCGGUUCGUUAUGUCUGCUGUGAAAGCCCCGGGCUUAACCUGGGAAUGGCAGUGGAAACUGGCGGGCUUGAGUGUGGCAGAGGGGGGUGGAAUUCCGCGUGUAGCAGUGAAAUGCGUAGAUAUGUGGAGGAAUACCGAUGGCGAAGGCAGCCCCCUGGGCUAAGAUUGACGCUCAUGCACGAAAGCGUGGGGAGCAAACAGG
rnacentral:rRNA from 1 species